rnacentral:lncRNA from 1 species
ACUACUAUAAUUCUGAAUUCUCUACAGAUUGGCUUGGCCUGUUUUUAAAUUCUCUUUACAUCCUCAACAUUGCCUGGCCCACGCUUGUGAAAUGGAGUCUCCCCCUGGAAAAUUCAUCAACGUUUUCUUUUCAGGAUGGAACAAGAAAAUUCAAAGGGUGCAGUUGAGAAGCCCUGGGACCUGGGAGGCAGAAGGGGAGCGUAUGACCAAGAAGGAGGCUACAGAGUUCCUGAUUCUGCAACUUUCUCUGAGAAGGAUGAGUUGGGGCUCCAGUGGGCACAGAGCAGGGGAGGGGAGCAGUUGCCAGGGGCAGAGCUGCAAACAACAGCAGCCAUUGUAAUGGAUUGGUGAGGAAGCACCAUUACCAAGAGAUCUGAGGUUCUUCCUACACACAAAAGGAGUGGACACAGCAAGUCCUUUUUGAGCCCCAGUGUCCCCAGGAGUGGAUAAUAGCACUUUUGAAUCAAGGGAAUUCUUGAGGUGACCCGGAGUCAACUCUUUCAGUCUGAAAUGGCCUGAGAAAUCAAGGUGAUAGCUGUGUUUAGCCAAUUCCUUUAAUAAAUUUAUAAAUUAUAAAAUACCAAGUGGAAAAAAUUAGUAGU